rnacentral:lncRNA from 1 species
UUUGUAGCCCAUGCUGGCCUGACGCUUAGGACAAUCCUGCUCAGAGUUCCAUAUAGUGGCAUUACAGGGAUAUAUAAAGAGGUGCUCAGCAGAUGAGGACCAGACCUUUGCAACCGAAAAUUCAACUUUAAAGUUCCAAAGAUCUGUCCCAGGAAGGCUGGAGGGCUGUGUGAUCUACAAGGGGUGAAGAGCUGAGUAAGUAAGAGUUGCUGUUACUCAGCUGGUGAAGUAGCUGGGUGGAUUAGGGGUUUGCACAAAGCCUGACCACCCCAACUUUGACUCACUGGGACCCAGUGGUGGAAGGAGUGAACUGACUUCUGCAAGCUGUCUCCUGACCACCGCCUAUAUGUGUGCCCACACGUGCACAGAUGAAGAAAUAAAAAUGUA